rnacentral:rRNA from 2 species
GAGGCUCGAAGGCGAUCAGAUACCGCCCUAGUUCUAACCAUAAACGAUGCCAGCCAGCGAUCCGGCUGUGUUCCUCAAAUGACACGCCGGGCAGCUUCCGGGAAACCAAAGCUUUUGGGUUCCGGGGGAAGUAUGGUUGCAAAGCUUAAACUUAAAGGAAUUGACGGAAGGGCACCACAAGCCAUGGAGCAUGCGGUUCAAUUUGACUCAACACGGGAAAUCUUAUCCGGCCCGGACACAGGAAGGAUUGACAGAUUAAGAGCUCUUUCUUGAUUCUGUGAGUGGUGGUGCAUGGCCGUUCUUAGUUGGUGGAGUGAUUUGUCUGCUUAAUUGCGAUAACGAACGAGACUCUAGCCUACUAAAUAGGCGUUCCGAUCCUCUUAGUCGGACGCUCUUCUUAGGGGGACAGGCGGCGACUAGCCGCACGAGACAGAGCAAUAACAGGUCUGUGAUGCCCUCAGAUGUUCGGGGCCACACGCGCGCUACAUUGAAGGAAUCAGCGUGUGCUUUCCCUGUCCGACAGGACUGGGUAACCCGUUGAACCUCCUUCGUGCUGGGGAUAGGGGCUUGCAAUUCUUCCCCUUGAACGAGGAAUGCCUAGUAAGCACGAGUCAUCAAUUCGUGUUGAUUAGGUCCCUGCCCUUUGUACACACCGCCCGUCGCUAUAAGCGAUUGAAUGGUUUAGUGAGGUCUUCGGACUGGCGCUCGAAUUGGCCUUCCGGUCGAGUCGACGUGCCGGAAAGAUGACCAAACUUGAUCAUUUAGAGCAUAUAAAAGUCGU